GACGAACGCUGGCGGCGUGCUUAACACAUGCAAGUCGAACGGAAAGGCCCUGCUUUUGUGGGGUGCUCGAGUGGCGAACGGGUGAGUAACACGUGAGUAACCUGCCCUUGACUUUGGGAUAACUUCAGGAAACUGGGGCUAAUACCGGAUAGGAGCUCCUGCUGCAUGGUGGGGGUUGGAAAGUUUCGGCGGUUGGGGAUGGACUCGCGGCUUAUCAGCUUGUUGGUGGGGUAGUGGCUUACCAAGGCUUUGACGGGUAGCCGGCCUGAGAGGGUGACCGGCCACAUUGGGACUGAGAUACGGCCCAGACUCCUACGGGAGGCAGCAGUGGGGAAUAUUGCACAAUGGGCGGAAGCCUGAUGCAGCAACGCCGCGUGCGGGAUGACGGCCUUCGGGUUGUAAACCGCUUUCGCCUGUGACGAGGCGUGAGUGACGGUAAUGGGUAAAGAAGCACCGGCUAACUACGUGCCAGCAGCCGCGGUGAUACGUAGGGUGCGAGCGUUGUCCGGAUUUAUUGGGCGUAAAGGGCUCGUAGGUGGUUGAUCGCGUCGGAAGUGUAAUCUUGGGGCUUAACCCUGAGCGUGCUUUCGAUACGGGUUGACUUGAGGGAGGUAGGGGAGAAUGGAAUUCCUGGUGGAGCGGUGGAAUGCGCAGAUAUCAAGAGGAACACCAGUGGCGAAGGCGGUUCUCUGGGCCUUUCCUGACGCUGAGGAGCGAAAGCGUGGGGAGCGAACAGGCUUAGAUACCCUGGUAGUCCACGCUGUAAACGGUGGGUACUAGGUGUGGGGUCCAUUCCACGGGUUCCGUGCCGUAGCUAACGCUUUAAGUACCCCGCCUGGGGAGUACGGCCGCAAGGCUAAAACUCAAAGGAAUUGACGGGGCCCCGCACAAGCGGCGGAGCAUGCGGAUUAAUUCGAUGCAACGCGUAGAACCUUACCUGGGUUUGACAUGGAUCGGGAGUGCUCAGAGAUGGGUGUGCCUCUUUUGGGGUCGGUUCACAGGUGGUGCAUGGCUGUCGUCAGCUCGUGUCGUGAGAUGUUGGGUUAAGUCCCGCAACGAGCGCAACCCUUGUUCACUGUUGCCAGCACGUUAUGGUGGGGACUCAGUGGAGACCGCCGGGGUCAACUCGGAGGAAGGUGGGGAUGACGUCAAGUCAUCAUGCCCCUUAUGUCCAGGGCUUCACGCAUGCUACAAUGGCUGGUACAGAGAGUGGCGAGCCUGUGAGGGUGAGCGAAUCUCGGAAAGCCGGUCUCAGUUCGGAUUGGGGUCUGCAACUCGACCUCAUGAAGUCGGAGUCGCUAGUAAUCGCAGAUCAGCAACGCUGCGGUGAAUACGUUCCCGGG
rnacentral:rRNA from 1 species